rnacentral:rRNA from 1 species
UUACGGUCAAAUCACGAUCAAAACACCGCUUCUCGUUCAAUCACCGAAGUUAAGCAUCAUAGAGCCAGGUCAGUACUUAGAUGGGGACCGCUUGGGAACUCAUGGUACUGUAAU